GAGGGUAUAGCUCAGAGGUAGAGUGCUUGCCUAGCAUGCAUGAGAUCCUGGGUUCAAUUCCUAGUACCUCUG
rnacentral:tRNA from 1 species